rnacentral:rRNA from 1 species
GACGUAGGGCGCGAGCGUUGUCCGGAUUUAUUGGGCGUAAAGAGCUCGUAGGCGGCUUGUUGCGUCGUCCGUGAAAACCUGUGGCUCAACUACAGGCUUGCGGUCGAUACGGGCGGGCUGGAGUUCGGUGAGGGGAGACUGGAAUUCCUGGUGUAGCGGUGAAAUGCGCAGAUAUCAGGAGGAACACCGGUGGCGAAGGCGGGUCUCUGGGGCCGAUACUGACGCUGAGGAGCGAAAAGCGUGGGGGAGCGAAACAGG